GCCAGGCACAGUGGCGCAUGCCUGUAAUCCCAGCACCUCGGGAGGCUGAGACAGGAGGAUUGUGAGUUCAAAGCCAACCUCAGCAAAAAAAAAAAAAAAAGUGAGGCACUAAGCAAUUCAGUGAGACCCUAUCUCUA
rnacentral:sRNA from 1 species